GCCUGGUGUGGUGGUGCAUGCCUGUAAUCCCAGCAGCUUGGGAGGCUGAGACAAUAGGAUCGUGAGGCUGGAAGCCAGCCUCAGCAAUGGCGAGGCACUAAGCAACUCAGUGAGACCCUGUCUCUA
rnacentral:sRNA from 1 species